rnacentral:lncRNA from 1 species
AAAAAUGUCGCUAAACAUCCGUACAAUAUAGCAAAUACAGAUACUUCAAAAAGCGUUGUUAUAUAAAUCUUCUAUUAUAUCAAUUAAUUUAUUAAAUAAUAAAAUUUAUUUUUAUUUUUUAUUUAUUUUAUCGACGCUUGACAUAAGCGUCGGUAUAUACGUAACAACUCUUUAUUUGCCGACGCUUUCAAAUAUAACGCUAGACUAUACUGGAAUACUUUUAAAAAUUAUUAAACGUAAAUAAAAAUAUUCUUAAAUACUAAUUUUCUUGUAGUGUGUGGUAUGACUUUGUGUGGGAUAUGUUUUUUUUUAAGAAAGAUAGCAUGUUAUAUAUUUAUUUUGCUUAUUUUUAAAAAAAAUAAAUUUAGCUAAAAAUAUAAAUUAAUUAGGAUUUGAGUUUGAAACUUUAGAUACCAACUAUCAAGCCUUUUACUAUUUGUACUAGGAACAAUCGGUUUGUGUGAGAUAUGUUCAUACAAGAGUGGGGUGGAAUAUAUAUAUUCUAUAAAACUUCAGUCCAAUAUGUGCACUACUAUAUAUAUAUAUAUAUAUAUAUAUUUGAGUUAGAAUACUAUCGAUAGCAAACGGGCUCCGUUGCCACCCAUUUGUUUUCGAUGAUAUAGUCUCUAAAUCGACGAUCGGCAUCGUUGAACAUGAUCUAUACUACUUGAAGUGUUUAGAAAUCAAAUUUCAAAUCUUUUCGAUAUCAUUUGUCUAAUGAUCAAAGGGUUUUAAAAUUUGUAAUUUUAAUGAUCGAUGUGAGGCGUUUUCUCGUUUAACGGCGUAAAGAUAUUCAAAUCAAUUAAAUUUUUUUAAAAAAUUCUUUAAACUAUUUAAAAUAAGAUCUAUACUCUUAAUCUUUAUUACAAGACUCCUAUCAUCAUUUUUUAAAGAAUAUUCAUUUUCAGCCGUUCAUUUUUGUAUCCACUCGAUGGAUAAGAGAACAAUAUUGAAAAUGUAUGAAAUUUGAUUUCUAAACACUUUAGGUGGUAUAAAUCAUGUUCAACAGUGCCGAUCGUCGAUUUGGAGGUCCCAUCAUCAAAAACAAAUGGGUGGCAACGGAGCCCGUUUGCUAUCGAUAGUAUUCUAGCUCAACUCUCUCUCUCUCUCUCUCUAUCUCUCUCUCUCUCUCUCUCUCUAUAUAUAUAUAUAUAUAUAUAUAUAUAUAUAUAUACACACACUAGUAAUACUUUUCAUAACUUAUUCGCCUGGAGAAAAAUUACAUGGUGGAGAGUCCCUAACCAAAUGUCCACUAUUAAUUAUGAAGUGAUCCAUAGUCUUCCAAACUAAUGAUACGGGAUCUACUCGGUUCGUAUGUUAUAAACUGUCGAUCAUACAAUCUUUCUAUGGAUAACUGGCCGUUCCUAACGCAAGUGGCAAAAAAAUUUGAUGAUUGGUAUGCGAGACCUAAGUUCGAAUCCUAAUUGAUUCAUAUUUCUAGCUAAAUUUAUUUCUAAAUGAAAUAAACGAAGCGGCUAGCAUGCUACCUUUCUCUCUAAAAAAAAAAAUAAUUUUUUAUGAAUAGAUUUUUCAUAAAAUAUUUUAUAUUUCACUAACGUAAUCUUAUUUUACUGUUGCUAUAUUUUUAUAAUUU